UACAGAGGUCUCAAGCGUUGUUCGGAUUCAUUGGGCGUAAAGGGUGCGUAGGUGGCGCUGUAAGUCGGGUGUGAAAUUUCGGAGCUUAACUCCGAAACUGCAUUCGAUACUGCGGUGCUUGAGGAUUGGAGAGGAGACUGGAAUUCAUGGUGUAGCAGUGAAAUGCGUAGAGAUCAUGAGGAAGACCAGUGGCGAAGGCGGGUCUCUGGACAGUUCCUGACGCUGAGGCACGAAGGUCAGGGGAGCAAACGGG
rnacentral:rRNA from 1 species